rnacentral:rRNA from 1 species
UACGUAGGGGGCAAGCGUUGUCCGGAUUCAUUGGGCGUAAAGAGCGUGUAGGCGGCCAGGUAGGUCGGUUGUGAAAACUGGAGGCUCAACCUUCAGAGGUCGACCGAAACCAUCUGGCUAGAGUCCGGGAGAGGAGAGUGGAAUUCCUGGUGUAGCGGUGAAAUGCGCAGAUAUCAGGAAGAACCCCUAAAGCGAAGGCAGCCGGCUAGACGAUGAUUGACGCUGAGGGACGAUAGCGUGGGGAGCGAACAGG